ensembl:misc_RNA Metazoa_SRP Metazoan signal recognition particle RNA
GUUGGGCAUGGUGGUGCAUGCCUAUAGUCUCAGCUACUCAAGAGGCUGAGGCAAGAGGAUCACUUGAGCCCAAGAGUUCUGGGCUAUAGCAGGCUAUGCCAAUUAAGUGUCUACACUAAGUUCAGCAUUGAUAUGGUGACCUCCUGGGAGCAGGGCAGCACCAGACUGCCUAAGAGGGGUAAGCCAGCCCAGGCCAGAAAUGCAGCAGGUCAAAAUUCCUAUGUUGGGGAGGCGCCUGUGGCUCAGUGAGUGGGGCACCAGCCCCAUAUACCAAGGGUGGCAAAUUCAAACCUGGGCC